GAAUAUCGAUCGAUGUUCCAGUGUGGGUGUCGAUCGAUGUGAGCGGUUGUUUUGCUGGACGAGGGUGGGUAUCGACCGAUGUGGAGUGCACAGCGUCGAACGAUGUUGGAAACGUGUUGGUGAACAUGUGUGUUUCAAGUCUUACAUCAUGCAAAGACAUUUCUAUUGCACGUUCUUUCCAAUAAUCCUCAUCGUAAUCCUCCGUCUGUUCCUCAUUAGGUGAAGUAAUUGCAGUGUCAACUGCAAAACUUUCAUGGAAACCACUGUCUGCCCA
rnacentral:lncRNA from 1 species